CAUGAAUGUACUUCCAGAAACAAUUAUGAUACUAUUAACUUGUCAGUUAAAGCAUUUUGUGCUCCUGUCAGUCAGUGAAACGAAAUAAAUAAAUUCUAUUUCACAGUUCAGAACCUGUUUCUGCGAUGUUGGCUCUCACAUCUGGUGUUUUGGCAAUGAUAAGCUCUAAAAAAGCAUCUAUAUUUUAAUGAGUGAAAAUGGCAAAUGGUUUCUUUAAACAUCUUAUAAUUCCAGCAGUUAGUUUGAUGCUAAUAAUAUAUGGAAAAUAGACAACUUAGGGACUCGGGUUUGUGGUCUUUGCUCUUUUUUUUUUUUUUUUUUUCCCCCCAUUUCUUUACCUCACGACUCAUAAAAAUUCAACCCUUAAGAACUUUCACAGUAUACUACUCAAUUCAAAAAAGGAAUGAUCAUGAAAAUGUAUAAUUAGUACAUUACUAUCGACCUUAAUAUCUCUUGAUAACCUCAAUAUUUAACCAUGUUGUCAUAGUGGCCAACUUAUAGCUGUGUGUAUCCUUAAAAAACAUUAAACAAAAACACCAGAUAAAAUCCUAAACACUUACUAAAACACAAGUGGAAUGUGGAGGCUGACCAUCCAACUCCAUGUUGCAGCUCAUGCUUGGAUCUGGAGUCUCCUCUCUCUCUCUUCUGCUGUUUAUUUUAGUGGAGCAAUUCGGGAGGAACAAGUACGUGCACGGAGAGGUGGUGAAAAGCGAGAAGCAUGAGGCUGCUGCCCUGUUACUGGGUCUGUUUGUCCAAUAAACCCUUCGAGGCAAUGGAAACAUUGCUCUGACUGACAGCAGCCUGUGCCAUGCCAGAGGAACAAAGGACAGACUUGGUCAGCUACUGCCUGUCCAGCCUGCUUGCUUUGCUGGGUCUUCUUUUUAUUGUGAUGGGGCAAACAGAGGCAUCCCAGUGCAGCACGGAAAUUACUGAUGUGGUGGAAACAUACCUGGAAGUUCUGCGUGGCAUGAAGACCUUGGAAAGUACUUUGCUUUACACACCAAAUCUGAAAAGCUAUGAGAUUUGCCCCAGUUCCACCCUGGCAUGCUUUGCAAAGGAGGUAAAAGUGAUGCUCUUUGAGUUGGAUCAUAUACUAGCUUUACAUAAUUCACUUCUUCAUGGAAAUCUGGUCAGGAGACUGGAGUCUUUCAUCACAAAGAAGGAUGAGGAGCACUGCAUGCAGUGUGAGCUCCACAGGGAACUGCCAGUGAUGGACUUCCUGAUUUCACUACAACAGAUCCUCCAGGUGAUGAACAGCAGCUGUUAAAUUUCAUGACUGAGAAGAUUAUAAUGCCAUCUGAUCUGAGGAACAGUGUGGGAAAUCUACUGGCAGCUUUUUAUUGGCAAAACUGGAGAAUGUGUGUCUGUGUACCUGGUUAUAUUUAGUUAUAAAGCAAAAUCUUUAUUUUAAAAGCUAUGGGUAUUUCAUGUAAGUGAAGCUGGUCUGACGACUCAAAGCUUUAUCUAAGUUUUUUUUUUUUUUUUUUAAAAUUAGUGCUGUUAUGUUAAAUACUUAAAUAUUGGGCAACAUUAACUCAUUCUAAGGAAGUAAGUUGGUUACUAAUCAUGAAUGAUAUCAUUCGUUUACAUCAUUGUAACAAAAAUGGAAGUCUUCAUUAUGCUUCUUAUUCCAAAAAGGUGAGUAUAAGUCUUAUUUAUUUCGGCGAGCUGAUGAAACAUGUUUAUUAACCCACAUGUGAUCUGCAUUGUAAAAUGUAUUUCGUUUAUUUAAUUUUGUACUUAUUUAUUUCAUGUUAAAUACAUGACCAUUGCUUAAGAAUUACAAAUUACAAUUUAUCAACUAUGAGCAUGAACACAAACAUGUUAUUGUAUUAACUUAUGCCAUAUAAUAACUGAGAUAAAAGUUUU
ensembl:lncRNA